UCAAGCAACAGUUAACUCAGAGAAAAAGCGGCUUUCCAUUGCCAGCCUUCUUAGUCUAGCUUUAGGCAAGAAAGUUAGACCUGCACCAGCACUUGUCGAUGAACAACAUACCUUGUCCUACAAAGAAGGAGGCUUCAGUGAUUUCCUUGACUUCAUUUCUGGACAAGAUAUUGUGGAAGCAAAGUACAUAGACAAACUAAAAAUAAAUCCAUAACAAUAAUAGUCCAUGGACAGCAGAGCAGAUGAUACACAAAUUCUAACUUUUACACUCUUCACACUCCACGUCAUACAAUCUGUUUGCACUUGUUAAAAUGUAAAGGUUAUAAUCAGUAGCCAUCUUUCCUAUGUACUUUCUUCUAACAUCGCUGGUGAAAGGCUCAUCUUUCUUCAAUUUUUUUUUCUUUUUUUUUUUUUUUUGGAAAAAGAAAAGUAAGGGAUCUUAUUUCUUCAUGCUAGGAAGCGUCACUGUGAAAAUAAAUUUGGAACGGACUUUACCUGUCAUAUUAGGGUUCCCUCAAGGCCACUUAUGAUUUAAGGAUCCAUAUGUUUGCACCACCAGCAAAAUUAAGAUGCAUCAUCAAGAUCUUCACUAAAUCCAAUGAUAUAUCUCGGUUAGAAGCUAGCAACUGGAAAAUUCAAAUAAUUUCCAAAUUGGGAAAGAGUUUUAAUAUUCACAUCUAAUCUAGUUUAAGCCAAAUGUAGGUCAUACCACAAGUUCAGAACUCAAGCCACAUUCAUCACUAGGUAAAUGGCUAUACGCGCUUAUAAGAGCAUGUGCUCUCACAGAAGGUAACAUUUUGAUGGUAAAUUGACACAGAAUGUUUAGUUAAGACCUUAAAAAAAUUAGAGGCAAAAUGACCUUCCAACAAUAGUAUCUGUAAACAUAGCGCAGAAAUAGCCAGCACAACAACUGCUCUCAUAUUAAUAUUAUCAUUCUUUUAUUCUUUCUGGUUUUGAGCUGAGAAGUUACCAUUAUGAGCUAACAGGGAAGCAUGGCUUCAAACUCAACUUCCAUGACUCAGGUAAUGCUCAGAUAUGAUGCCCAACCCUUACUGUCAUAUAGUGUAGACCUCACUAAUGUUCAGACAUUCAAGCUGUUUUUUCUCCAGGAUUAUCCACUCGUUUCAAACCUCCUUCAAACUAACUUGAAAUUAUUGCAAACCAAGGAAUAAAUUUUUAGGCGAAUACAUCUGAAUUUCUUUAAAUAAAUUGGCUAUUGUACGUAGAUUUGAUUUCCUAUUGCAAUAAAUAGCUGCAAUCAUCACCUUUGUUAGUCAGAUAACAUGGAAAACUUGCGAUGCUUUCCACCUCCUAAAAGAUUAUAUCCAUGCAUCAAAGGUUGUUAAUGUUUCUAUAAAUGAACACCUGCAGUUUGUUUAUCUUAAUUGUUUCUAUUUACUUCCAUUUAAUUCAUUAUAUCACCACAAGACAUAUAGGAUUCAGUCAUCGUUAGUCCAUAAUUCAUGCUGAUAACUAAUCAUUUCCUCUAUAGAGUGCAAGCUUAAUCUUUAGAAAUAAGCAUGAAAUAUCCUCAGAUCUAAUAACAAAACCGUCAUUUUUCCCCGAUUUUUCUCAAUAGAAAAUUUUACCUUGACAAUUGAUUUAAAAUAAUAUAGCAUGAAUUUCUGUUUUCACCCAUUCAGAUAGGCACUGAAAUCACAUUUUCCUCCCUUUUUGGUGCAUUAGUCGACUCUUGAGUUAUAUCUAGUCAACACCAAAUUAUAAUAUCAACAAUCAUUUUUGUCCUGUUUUAUUAAUCUCCCAAAGGGGAUAAUGGAUAACCAUUAAAGGCAAAGAACAUCGGAUCAUUCAAGGAACAAGAUGCGUUAAUCAUAUUUCAAGAGAUUAAUCAUUCAUUUUCCUCCUUGAUCUUACUCAGAAUUUCUAAUUUCUUCUGCUGUUGACGCCAAUUUUUAAAAAUUCACAUUCUAGUGCAAUUUUAACUAUUUAAAAGUUAUUAAAUCGAAUUCUUCUCGCUAAUUCAGUAUUAUAACGUAGUUACAAAAACAAAAAUCAGCUAUUUGCAGUUGCUAAAACGAUUGCUCGAUUUCUUCUCGAUAUGAUGGUUACAUCGCACGUUUGAUUUGCAUAUAAUCUCAAGAUAUACAAAUAGCAACAAAUAAAAUUGCAGAUAUACAUGAAUCUCACUAUAAAUUAAUAAAGAAUUUAAUACACAAAAAAUCAUUAAAAAUACAGAAAAUUUCAACUGAUUCGUGGCACACAAAAAAACGCGGGAAAAACACUUACGAAGGACAUAUGAAAAUUGAUUCAAAAAAUUAGCCGUAACUCUCUGCCUUUUCAUACGUCUCUGAUCUUCUCUGUCGCUAUCGCUAAGCCUCUCCUCCAUUUUUACUUUUUCCUGAUUUUCAAUUUUCAACGAAGGGGCUCGGAAAAUCGAAGAGAGGUGGAUUAAUUUCCUGCUCCGCGGGUUUACCGUAUGCCUUUUUCACUUCGGUCAUUAGUUAGCCACGUGUCUAUUCUGUCGGCUCACAUUCUUACAGGAUUUUGAGCAGUUUUUGAGUGUUGGCGAAGAUCAAAUUGUAACUUCUUUUUUUCCGAAAACUUUAUUUCAAUAUUUGCAGCAAACACUGCCUAAUAAACACUUUAAGAAACAUUUCAAGAAAAAAAAACCACAUCUCACAGAAUAUUUUAUAUCAAAUAAAUUACUUAAUUAAAGCUUCGAACUCAUUCUUAUCCCACUUUAUACAUCCACCAUAUUUGGUAUCUCAUUAUCUAUGAAAUUAAAAGUGGAAAAAAUGUUUUAAGAAAUUACAUCAUUUCUAGAAAUGAU
rnacentral:lncRNA from 1 species